UAGGAGUGUCUUAGCAACGAUUCUACAUUGAAAUCAUAACGUAAUUAUUAGCAGUUUUCUUUAUUUUCGACGAAAAUGUCUUGGUAACCUCAAACUUGAUGUGAACGGAUAGCAGGUUUCGUAUUACUAACUGUGUUAAAACCUGUUAUUUGUAUUUAAAUGUUAUAGAAUAAUGGUUAUGUGUUGGGCUCCUGAAUAUACAAAUUAUAAUGAUCGUGAAAAUGUUCGUUUUUUCGUUUUCCAAAAGACCCACCCACACGAAAUCGAUGGGCAAAGUCGGUGAACUCUAUAGAUCCUGGUCCUGGUGCCUUUGUAUGCAGUUGUCAUUUUCUUGAUGGAAAUAAUUAAAAUGGCCCUAUACAGCUCUUGGUCAUAAGGUACUGUAGUAAUACAGUACUUAUCGCAAAAUAGUUAAGGCAACGGAGUCCCGAAAAAUUAGCAGAACGAAAAUAUCUGUCGGAGCUGAAAUACCAAGCUACCACUUGAGUACAAAAUAACUACAAAUUCCUGUAAUUUAUAUAUAAUCACAUGCAUAUAAACAUAAUUUUACAGACCUGAAACUGAGCCACAACUUUCGACUUCGACGGAAGGUAUUCCUGAAACCUUUAAGUCUAUAGCACGAACUGAUGCUGAAAAUGAUUUUCUCCAAUAACUACAGGAAGUGUCAACAGAACUUAACAAUUUAUCUGAACGUUUUUUAAUCGAAAGUAUAAAAGGAAAUGGCAUCUUAGUAUUUAUGUAUUUUCCUACUGAUGCAAUAUUUAAAUGUUUGUUUGCAUGCAACAAAAAGGUAGUUGUUGAUAGAGACUCGAUUAUAAAAAGGCACAAAUAAAGUAUCGUAAAAAACA